AGAGUUUGAUCAUGGCUCAGGAUGAACGCUGGCGGCGUGCCUAAUACAUGCAAGUCGAACGGGGAGUUCGCAAGGGCUCCCAGUGGCGAACGGGUGAGUAACGCGUGGGCGACCUGCCCCAAAGCGGGGGAUAACAGCUCGAAAGGGCUGCUAAUACCCCAUGAGGUCCCGCUGGUUAGAGGCGGCGGGACGAAAGGCGCAAGCCGCUUUGGGAGGGGCCUGCGUCCCAUCAGCUAGUUGGUCGGGUAACGGCUGACCAAGGCGAUGACGGGUAGGGGACCUGAGAGGGUGAUCCCCCACACUGGCACUGAAACACGGGCCAGACACCUACGGGUGGCAGCAGUAGGGAAUAUUGCACAAUGGGCGCAAGCCUGAUGCAGCAACGCCGCGUGCGCGACGAAGGCCUUCGGGUCGUAAAGCGCUUUUCGGGGAGAUGAGUACGGACAGUAUCCCCGGAAGAAGGAUCGGCUAACUACGUGCCAGCAGCCGCGGUAAAACGUAGGAUCCGAGCGUUAUCCGAAUUCACUGGGCGUAAAGCGCAUGCAGGCGGCCGCACAAGUUGGAUGUGAAAUCUCCCGGCUCAACUGGGAGGGGACGUUCAAAACUGUGCGGCUCGAGGGCGGUAGAGGAAGGUAGAAUUCCCGGUGUAGUGGUGAAAUGCGUAGAUAUCGGGAGGAAUACCCGUGGCGAAGGCGACCUUCUGGACCGUUUCUGACGCUCAGAUGCGAAAGCUAGGGGAGCGAACGGGAUUAGAAACCCCGGUAGUCCUAGCCGUAAACGAUGUCGACUGGGCGUGGGUGGGGUAAAAGCCAUCCGUGCCGAAGCUAACGCGUGAAGUCGACCGCCUGGGGACUACGGCCGCAAGGUUAAAACUCAAAUGAAUUGACGG
rnacentral:rRNA from 1 species